rnacentral:rRNA from 1 species
UUUGGUUAAGUUAGAAAGGGCGCACGGUGGAUGCCUUGACACUAGGAGUCGAUGAAGGACGGGACUAACGCCGAUAUGCUUCGGGGAGCUGUAAGUAAGCUUUGAUCCGAAGAUUUCCGAAUGGGGAAACCCACCAUACGUAAUGGUAUGGUAUCCUUAUCUGAAUACAUAGGGUAAGGAAGACAGACCCAGGGAACUGAAACAUCUAAGUACCUGGAGGAAGAGAAAGCAAAUGCGAUUUCCUGAGUAGCGGCGAGCGAAACGGAACAUAGCCCAAACCAAGAGGCUUGCCUCUUGGGGUUGUAGGACAUUCUAUACGGAGUUACAAAGGAACGAGGUAGACGAAGCGACCUGGAAAGGUCCGUCGUAGAGGGUAACAACCCCGUAGUCGAAACUUCGUUCUCUCUUGAAUGUAUCCUGAGUACGGCGGAACACGUGAAAUUCCGUCGGAAUCUGGGAGGACCAUCUCCCAAGGCUAAAUACUCCCUAGUGAUCGAUAGUGAACCAGUACCGUGAGGGAAAGGUGAAAAGCACCCCGGAAGGGGAGUGAAAGAGAUCCUGAAACCGUGUGCCUACAAAUAGUCAGAGCCCGUUAACGGGUGAUGGCGUGCCUUUUGUAGAAUGAACCGGCGAGUUACGAUCCCGUGCGAGGUUAAGCUGAAGAGGCGGAGCCGCAGCGAAAGCGAGUCUGAAUAGGGCGUUUAGUACGUGGUCGUAGACCCGAAACCAGGUGAUCUACCCAUGUCCAGGGUGAAGUUCAGGUAACACUGAAUGGAGGCCCGAACCCACGCACGUUGAAAAGUGCGGGGAUGAGGUGUGGGUAGCGGAGAAAUUCCAAUCGAACCUGGAGAUAGCUGGUUCUCCCCGAAAUAGCUUUAGGGCUAGCCUUAAGUGUAAGAGUCUUGGAGGUAGAGCACUGAUUGGACUAGGGGUCCUCAUCGGAUUACCGAAUUCAGUCAAACUCCGAAUGCCAAUGACUUAUCCUUAGGAGUCAGACUGCGAGUGAUAAGAUCCGUAGUCAAAAGGGAAACAGCCCAGACCGCCAGCUAAGGUCCCAAAGUGUGUAUUAAGUGGAAAAGGAUGUGGAGUUGCUUAGACAACUAGGAUGUUGGCUUAGAAGCAGCCACCAUUUAAAGAGUGCGUAAUAGCUCACUAGUCGAGUGACUCUGCGCCGAAAAUGUACCGGGGCUAAAUACACCACCGAAGCUGCGGAUUGAUACCGAAUGGUAUCAGUGGUAGGGGAGCGUUCUAAGGACAGUGAAGUCAGACCGGAAGGACUGGUGGAGUGCUUAGAAGUGAGAAUGCCGGUAUGAGUAGCGAAAGACGGGUGAGAAUCCCGUCCACCGAAUGCCUAAGGUUUCCUGAGGAAGGCUCGUCCGCUCAGGGUUAGUCAGGACCUAAGCCGAGGCCGACAGGCGUAGGCGAUGGACAACAGGUUGAUAUUCCUGUACCACCUCUUUAUCGUUUGAGCAAUGGAGGGACGCAGAAGGAUAGAAGAAGCGUGCGAUUGGUUGUGCACGUCCAAGCAGUUAGGCUGAUAAGUAGGCAAAUCCGCUUAUCGUAAAGGCUGAGCUGUGAUGGGGAAGCUCCUUAUGGAGCGAAGUCUUUGAUUCCCCGCUGCCAAGAAAAGCUUCUAGCGAGAUAAAAGGUGCCUGUACCGCAAACCGACACAGGUAGGCGAGGAGAGAAUCCUAAGGUGUGCGAGAGAACUCUGGUUAAGGAACUCGGCAAAAUGACCCCGUAACUUCGGGAGAAGGGGUGCUUUCUUAACGGAAAGCCGCAGUGAAUAGGCCCAAGCGACUGUUUAGCAAAAACACAGCUCUCUGCGAAGCCGUAAGGCGAAGUAUAGGGGGUGACACCUGCCCGGUGCUGGAAGGUUAAGGAGAGGGGUUAGCGUAAGCGAAGCUCUGAACUGAAGCCCCAGUAAACGGCGGCCGUAACUAUAACGGUCCUAAGGUAGCGAAAUUCCUUGUCGGGUAAGUUCCGACCCGCACGAAAGGAGUAACGAUUUGGGCACUGUCUCAACCAGAGACUCGGUGAAAUUAUAGUACCUGUGAAGAUGCAGGUUACCCGCGACAGGACGGAAAGACCCCGUGGAGCUUUACUGUAGCCUGAUAUUGAAUUUUGGUACAGUUUGUACAGGAUAGGCGGGAGCCUUUGAAACCGGAGCGCUAGCUUCGGUGGAGGCGCUGGUGGGAUACCGCCCUGACUGUAUUGAAAUUCUAACCUACGGGUCUUAUCGACCCGGGAGACAGUGUCAGGUGGGCAGUUUGACUGGGGCGGUCGCCUCCUAAAGUGUAACGGAGGCGCCCAAAGGUUCCCUCAGAAUGGUUGGAAAUCAUUCGUAGAGUGCAAAGGCAUAAGGGAGCUUGACUGCGAGACCUACAAGUCGAGCAGGGACGAAAGUCGGGCUUAGUGAUCCGGUGGUUCCGCAUGGAAGGGCCAUCGCUCAACGGAUAAAAGCUACCCCGGGGAUAACAGGCUUAUCUCCCCCAAGAGUCCACAUCGACGGGGAGGUUUGGCACCUCGAUGUCGGCUCAUCGCAUCCUGGGGCUGUAGUCGGUCCCAAGGGUUGGGCUGUUCGCCCAUUAAAGCGGUACGCGAGCUGGGUUCAGAACGUCGUGAGACAGUUCGGUCCCUAUCCGUCGUGGGCGUAGGAAAUUUGAGAGGAGCUGUCCUUAGUACGAGAGGACCGGGAUGGACGCACCGCUGGUGUACCAGUUGUUCUGCCAAGGGCAUAGCUGGGUAGCUAUGUGCGGAAGGGAUAAGUGCUGAAAGCAUCUAAGCAUGAAGCCCCCCUCAAGAUGAGAUUUCCCAUAGCGUAAGCUAGUAAGAUCCCUGAAAGAUGAUCAGGUUGAUAGGUUCGAGGUGGAAGCAUGGUGACAUGUGGAGCUGACGAAUACUAAUAGAUCGAGGACUUAACCAUAUAA